UACGGUAACCGAGGACCAGUUCAUUAAAAGUGUAGAGCAGUUGAACUUUGCAAAUAUUGUUCCAACGCCGUCGAAGCUAUUUGGCUUGAUACAGUCAUGAAGAAACCGUAAUAAAUCAGCGAUACGAUAAUAGAUGAAUAUAUAUUUACCGGAUACUUCUGAAUAAGAAAUCUCUACUUCAGUACAAAAAGACGGUGCAGCGACUAUUGCGCGUCCAUCACAACCCCUGUUAGUAUCGUCGGUUGCAGGAAUUAGUGUGCUAUUCGAGGUCUUGUUGGGGGAUUAUAUUGUCACAUUUGACCGAGGCACCCCCGGAUGCGGAAACGAUUACCCCAGACUACACCAGAAACCACCUCAGGUACAGUGGAUGACAGUUUUUUCCAUAACGAAGUACUCGCUGAAGACCUAUCUCGCUCGCAGCUGUUAGCGUUGGACCAACCAAUUUCGGCGCCUGGUACGCCUCGCAGCAGCUGCAAUCCAUUUGAUUGUACCACGCUUCUUGAAUUGUUGAAGAAAUCUGAGGCAGGUAAUUUUAGCUUGCAGGAAUAGUUGCAAGACAUCACCGCGAGAAAGUACACACCAGUAAUGCGUCGGAUAGUUACUGCUCAAAAUGGCGAGAAUAUUAUGUUACAGCUGAUGAAUUUCAACAUCGACACAGUCUAAGAAAGAAAAAAAUUCCUUGUGAUAAUGCCAAUCAGAU